UUUUUUUUUCUUUUUUUAGGGUGGCACUUGUAGCAUUUGGAAGUUCCUGGGCUAGGGGUCAAAUUGAAGCUGCAGCUUCAGGCCUACACGACAGCCAUAGCAACUUGGGAUCCGAGCCGUGUCUGAGACCUACACCGCAGCUCACCAAAACACUGGAUCCUUAACCCACUGAGCCAGGCCAGGGAUCAGACGUGCAUCCUCAUGGAUACUAGUUGGGUUCUUAACCCUCUGAGCCACAGCGGGAAUGCCACAUAAUUGACUUUAUAUACUGCAUUGAUCGGGAACCCCAACUAACUGCCUAUAGGAUGGGGCCAGACAAGGAUUUGUUUCUCAGCAUACUGUCAUUUCCACAGAGCGAUGCUAGUACCUCAUCUUCUCCUCCGGGGCAGCCUAGUGUUUUGGAAGCUGAGAAAGGUGCUCCUGGAAGGGAGAGCAGCAUCUUUCUCUUUGCCCCUCUCUCCUGCCUCCUUAUGCCUUUGGAGUUUCCAGACACGUUCCUUUGAAAAUAAAAAUUCACUUCCCAAAUGGCCUGUGUGGCAUCCAUUUGGUGGAUGAAAUUAUCAAGACCCCAUUUGGGGGCUAGGUCCUCGGUCCUGCAGCAGAUUAAAGCAAACAGCUCUGUGCUCCAGGCAGGGACAGGAGCUCCGGGCGGCACCUCCUGCGAGAUUUAUAUACUGUGCAUCUGUCAGGCAGUAAGUUGGAAUUUGCGGGUUAGCAAGUGACACCUGCCUGCCCAGGAAGCCACGCCCGCUCUCUGGAGGGAAGUAAUGGGUUCUGAAUUGGGGACGCGCUGGGGUAGGAGCGCCCAGAGCGAUGGAGGUAGUUCCAAGUCAUUGUGCCAGGAUUCAGUGGGUGGCGCAUGGAGACGUUUGCUUUGUUUUCGUUUUUAAUGAAAAUAUGGCUUUCUGUCCUAGUUAAGGAACGUGAUCUUUCUAUCGUUCUGAGACAGGUCUCGGAGGCUGUCAGGCUUCUGCUGUCCAGGUAGAGAAGCAGUGUCAAGAAGGAGCAUAAGGCAUAUUCAACAGUCCUUUGCUCAGUUUUGAACUUGGCAGCAUGAGCAUAGUCUCUGCCUAUCGGAAGAGAGAAUGCUUAAAACCACCUAAGAAAGGCGUUGAUUUGGUGUGGGAGAAAUAAUUAGAUGCUGCAUUUUUGUUUUGUUGCCGUGUUGUUUCUUCAAUGGCACAGUGUGAAGAAGCCUCAGAGAUGAAUAAAAACCUCGUUUCUCGGGGAUCCAUCUGGGCAGACGAUACGUUCCAGGUCUCUGAUUCCUAUUUCCAGUUCUGCCGUUUAGGCAGGUGCAUUUGGCCUUGGCGCGUGCGUGCUGAUGGCCUUGGAGACCCAGGCUCUGAGCGCCCAGAGAAUGAGAUGACCUCGUGCAGCUCCUUCUACAAAGGGAGGUACACAGAAGGCCACUUCUUUUCGGUUCAAAUGUACAAACAAAUCCAAAUGGCUAGAUAAUCAUUUCUCCCUCCUCUUUCCCCAGGCGCCAUCCCUGGGAACAUACAGUAGUCAGCAGGACACUUUGAACUUAUUCUUAGUCAACAAAAGUCAAUUGUUCCCUCCAGCCCAUCCUGGAGGCCCCCCACCCCCACCCCAUGAAGGUCUCCUGCUGCUGUUUAAAUGCCAAGGCAGAGACUCAGCAUUUACCAAAAAUAAAUGUUGAGGUAAAGAUUUGACAUUUAUUUUCAAAGUGAGAGGCCAUCUUCCCAUCACAGAAUUCAGCUUGUUAGAUAUUCUUUUGUAUUAGCCCAAAGGGUUCAUGUUAGCAAAGAAAUACAAACCAGCUUUAGCAGCCAGCAGGCUAACAGGACCUCUGUUCACUAGGCUGUUAUUGAAAAGGUAGACUCUGGUGUCUUGGUGCGGAUGUGAGCUCCCUCAGUAAUGGGCUGUCUGAGUAAGUAACACCGGAGCCUGGAGAUCUGAUGUGUGACAUCUGCCUUAUCUGUUAGGCUGGGGUAGGAUGCUAUCGAGGGAAGGUAGUAGAAAAUGGAAUAGAGCAAUUGAGUGAUGGAUUUAAAUCCAAAUCAUAAGUGUAAGAAACUCCCCCAAGUAGCUCAUCAUAGUUACUGGUGGGGUUUUGGAGGCAGGUGAAUUAGCAGGAGAAUAGACCAUCGCUCCAUUGGCAGGUAGCACUCUGGCUCUGCUUUCAGUGGCUGUGUUUCUGCUCCAUCAUGUCUUUGUGGCUUCCCACUGCCAAAGCACCCCGCUUCCCCCCAUCCUUGGCAGCAUUUGUGCUACUAUCCCUUUUUGUCCUUACUGUCCACGUAAGGGAGUGAACAGGGCGUGGCCAGGAUUGGAGAGUCUGUGGUUAGUCUGGUAGAGGGUCGCUGUUAUGCCAUAAUCCUUAGGAAUGACUUCUGGGCAAGACUGAUUGCAAAAUUUGUGGGGGCCAGUGAAAGAUGGUUAUUUAGGUCCUAGUUCAAAAAUUACUGAGAAUUUCAAAAUGGUAACAGCAGGGCCAAGCAUAGGGCCCUUUGAGUACAGGGCCUGGUGUGAUUCUAUAUGUUAUACACCCAUGAAACUGGCCUUGCCUCUGGGGGUGGUGAAUGUGGGAUUAGGGUGAAGGAAGUCACGACAGUUCCACUUUUGACUCUUCUUCCUGAGAAACUAGAGGGUAACAUCUCUCAGAAUUGGAGGAGCAACCCCAGUGGGUAGGCGGAUGCUCCAGGAAGGAGCAUCUCUCCAGGAAGCUCCCAGAGAAAACCAGAUACAGAAAGCUGGUCCCUGUGUAUGGUUGUAAAAGACUGUUCAGGGACAGAGGAAAGCCACUCAUUUCCUGCUAGGAUUGCUCCAGCUCUGAGCCCCCUGCCUGCUCCUUUAUUCCCUCCCUUCCCCCACAGACGGAUGAGUGGUGAAAAGGGACUAGAAACCAAUAUCAUCCAACCAUCCACCUUACAUACUAAGACAAUUCUAACAGUAGUACUCAGGGAGCCAUGGAGGAAAUUGAAGGAAUGUAUAUCAUACCAUCCCUACUUGUGUGAGACAAAUAACAGGCCGGGGGAGAUGUGCCUCAAAACAGGAAAUGCAGAGAUUCAUGAAAAGCUUCUAUGCCAUAGGAGUUCCCAUGGUGGCGCAGCAGAAACGAAUCUGACUAGGAACCAUGAGGUUGCAGGUUCGAUCCCUGGCCUCACUCAGUGGGUUAAGGAUCUGGCAUUACAGUGAGCUGUGGUGUAGGUUUCAGAUGCAGCUUGGAUCUGUCGUUGCUAUGGCUCUGGUGUGGUCCGCAGCAACAAUUCUGCUUAGAUCCCUAGUCUGGGAACCUCCAUACACUGAGGGUGCGGCCCUAAAAGGACAAAAGACAAAAAAAAAAAGUGUCUGUGCCAUAAAUGAUGAUACCCAGUAGGCAAAUUAUGAUGACCAUAUAUCUGAAGAAAUUAUGUUUAGAUGGCAAAUCCUUAAAAGAAUAGGAAAAAAAAAGGAUUUAUAUGAAAGAAGAGAUGAUACUAGUAAAUCAGGCAGACUGAAAUAAGAGAUGGUAAAGUAAGAAAAAUUUUUAAAAAUUAUUUUAUUUUAUUUUUCUCUUUUUAGGGCUGCACCUGUGUCAUAUGGAAGUUCCCAGGCUAGAGGUUGAAUUGGAGCUGCAGCCACUGGCCUAUGCCACAGCCACAGCAACACGGGAUCCGAGCUGCUUCUGUGACUUACACCAGAGCUCAUGGCAAUCCUGGAUCCCCACUCCACUGAGUGAGGCCAGGGAUUGAACCCUCAUCCUCGGGGUACUAGUCAGGUUCUUAACCCACUGAGCUACAAUGGGAAGUCCAGAUAAGAAAAAUUUUGUGGAAACAAAUAAUGCCCAAAUAGAAUCUAAAAUAAUACUAUGAACAUUUAAGAGAAUUGACACUCUUGAAAAUUUUUAUCACAUGUAGAAAUCAGGCUUGAGAAAACCCUUCCAGAGCUCAAAGGAAAAGAUCAAAGAGAAUAAAUUGAUAAGAGGGAUAAUAAUUGAUAUAGAGAUGAGAUUACAUAGCUAUAUGUGUCCAGGUGUAGCUGCUGAAGAAGAUAAAAAUAUUCAAAGAUAUAAUAGUAGAAAACUUUCCUGAACUGAAGAAAGAUCUGAAUUCAUAGAUUGAAAGAAUGCUCUGAGUGUAGGUAAAAUUAAUUAAAAAUGGCCAAGACGUAGGUAAAUAUUCAUAUUUUGAAUAUUCUUGAAUUUUAAAAGCACUCAGUUACUGAGAAUGAGAAGUGGGGGAAUGUCACUUUGGCUCCAGAAUUUUUGGUGACAUUAGAUUUCAUGGCGUUUUAUGAGUAAAAAGGGCUUCAGUGAAAGAAUUGUAUGGUCAGCUAUAGCCCAUGCUUUUUGUGAUCAGCACCAUGUCCUCUCAGGCCGCCUGUGAUCUGUGACAGUAACUCCCACCUGCUGGGAGUUACAGUCACAUCCCACCUCAAGUCAGUUUGGGAGGUAUUCUGCUUAAUAGCUUUGUCCAAAGCUGUAAAAACCAGAAAUGAAGGAGAGUUAGCAUUCCUGAGGGUAACUCUUGACCAAUUGGAGAAGGAAGUUGGUGGAUAACUUCUCUAGCUUCCCAUGCUUUAUGGAACGAUUUUGAGGCAUAUUCUACAUGAUUCCUUAGGGGUUCCCAGUGGCAUUGAGCCCCAGGUGUCCAUCAAGGGAAUCAACUCAAUCAUAUGCCCAUUAUUGGCUUUUCCAUCUUCCCUGUCUCUCUCUGCUCCCUCACUGCUGUUCCUGGAAACAGCUUCAAAUUAAACUACCCAUUUCUGAGUUCUUGUCUCAGGCUUUUGGUACAACCAAAACUAAGACCCCUAACAUUCUUUAUUGUCAUAUGCAAGCAAAAGAAAAAAAUUCUCACAUGUUUAAGGAUUCAGAAAAGAGAUAUCUAUGCACUUUUGUGAUAAAGUGAGAAUUGAGCAAAGUAGACAUCAUGAACAAGGGACUGUCUGAUGAAAAUUUUAAAAAAACCAACAGUGAGCAUUGAAAUCAAUUAAGCAUGGAAUUAUCCAAAUGACUGUGGUGAAUGUGGUUUUAAAGCAAUGUAAAUAGUAUAAAUUUGAAAAGACAGUGAAAAACAACAUCAUGAUAAACAUCAAGAUAUACUGUUUCUUGAUGUUCAUUAGUCGAGACACAUAGCAUAAAAUAUAAAUUUUAAAGUCUAAAAGCUGUAUUUAGAUUAACAGCAAUCUUAUCCUUUCUACCCUGUUCCUGAGUCAUCCAUUUUCCUUCCCUACAGACAACCAUUUUACCAGUUUAUAUGUUGCAUCUUUCAGAAAUACUCAAUUCAUAUUCCAGGAAUCAGGAAUUCCAUAGAUACCUCCCCCACAUCCCAACAAAUAACAUACUAAAGAGCCUUGCUGUUUUCACAUGGUGAAUUUUGUAAUAGCACCUUUUGGAAAUCAUUCCUUUUUUUCUUUUUUCUUUUUUAGGGCUGCACUUGCAGCCUAUGGAGGUUCCCAGGCUAGGGGUCAAAUUGGAGCUGUAUCUGCCAGCCUACACCUCUGCACAUGGUAACGCCAGAUCCUUAACCCUCUGAGCAAGGCCAGGGAUCGAACCUGCGUCCUCAUGGAUGCUAGUCAGAUUCGUUAACUGCUGAGCCAUGAGGGGAACUUCUAUUCCUUCUUUUCUACAACUGUAGAGUAUUCCUUUGCACGGCUAGACAUUAGGUUAUUUCUUUAGUCUCUCAUUAUGGGCUUCCAUGUUGUUGCUCCUCUGUUGCUAUCAUAGUAGAGAUUCGAGGGAUAGCCUUAGCACAUGUGUCAGCUUACUUGUCUCCUUCCCCCUUGAAACACUUUUCUCUCUUGCUUUCCAUAAUAUAGUGCUUUCCUGUUGUCCCGAGAUUCUCUGGUUACACCUUCCUGUCUCCUUUGCCAGCUCCUCUUCCUUCACCUUGUCCCUUGAAUGUCAGAGUUACUUAAGGCUUCCUUCUCCACACUUCUCCCUAGGUAUACUCACUCAUUCCAGGGGUUUAAAACUAUCACUGUGCUGGUGAUUCUCCAAAUUCUCUAUCUAACCAAACCUCACCUCUGAUCUCUGGUACUUUCAUAAUACCCUCUUUCACAUCUCUCAUAGACACUGUAAUCUUAACAGGUCCCAAAUAAGACUCUUGAGGUCCCUCCAACCUGGGUCGUCACCCAGUCUUCCACAAAUCAGGUAACAAUAGCAUCAUUUUUCUAGUUUCUCAAGCCAAAUCCUGGAUGCAGUUCUGCCUCCCAAACAUAUCUUCAAUCCUUCUACCUUUUUCUUCUCUCUAGUGCUACCACUGUUGUACUGCCUGCCAUCAUCUUCCUCAUGGACCACAGGAAUCCCCUCGCCGGGUGCCCUGUUUCUACUCUUGCUUCCUACAGUCUACUCUUCACUCAGCAGCCAGAGGGUCUUUGCAGGGUGUAGGUCAGACCUUUGUCUCUAUGCCAUGGCAGUUAUCAUGAAAUAAUCUAACAACUUGUUUUUGUGGUUGACCCCCUGCAAGAUGGAGGUUUCCUUGAGACAUGAUU
rnacentral:lncRNA from 1 species